rnacentral:rRNA from 1 species
GACGAACGCUGGCGGCGUGCUUAACACAUGCAAGUCGAACGGAAAGGCCCCUUUGGGGGUCCUCGAGUGGCGAACGGGUGAGUAACACGUGAGUAACCUGCCCUUGACUUCGGGAUAACUUCAGGAAACUGGGGCUAAUACCGGAUAGGAAUCCUUGCUGCAUGGUGGGGGUUGGAAAGCUUCGGCGGUUUUGGAUGGACUCGCGGCUUAUCAGCUUGUUGGUGGGGUAGUGGCUUACCAAGGCUUUGACGGGUAGCCGGCCUGAGAGGGCGACCGGUCACAUUGGGACUGAGAUACGGCCCAGACUCCUACGGGAGGCAGCAGUGGGGAAUAUUGCACAAUGGGCGGAAGCCUGAUGCAGCAACGCCGCGUGCGGGAGGACGGCCUUCGGGUUGUAAACCGCUUUCAGCAGGGGCGAAGCUUGUGGUGACGGUACCUGCAGAAGAAGCACCGGCUAACUACGUG